GGUAUGAUGUCACAAAAUAUUUGCUACUUCAGAGGGGUGUAUCACCUCAGUGAGACUACUUUAAUCACCAAGAUCUCUGACC
rnacentral:snoRNA from 1 species